GGCAGGGAUAUUUUGCUGGAGGUCUGUCCAUACUUGAGGUUUUCUAAAGUCAACAGAAGCACAAAACCACAGAAUUGUAGUGACUCUCAUCACUGGAUUUCAGCAGAAGUGUGGCACAUCCCAGGAUAAAUUCCAUCUCGGUGAAAGCACAGCCCUCAGGAUUCCCUAGGGUUACUCUUGAACAUGUGGAGGUCAGGCUCCAGCUCUUCCUGUUAGAAGGAAACUUCCUGGCCACCUCAACACAUGCACAUCACAUUGCAGCACGGCAGCUGGCUGAUCCAUUCCUACCUACCCUCACCUAUCCUAUCCAUUCUCAAACUCUUACUCCCCUCUUAAGAAUGAGACUUCCACUGUCAUCCCACUCCCUCCAUAUUGUCGUGCCAUGGUUGGAACAACAGCAGACAAUGCUUUAUCAUUCUCCUCAUCCAUUGAAAGGAUUUGCGCAUGGUAUGGAUGUGCAUAAAAUUCUCUGAUCCUUAUAUAUGUGAGAACAGUGAAAAAGGAAAGAAUUCAAGAGGUUUUUUUAUACAAUUGUUGGUAUGCUCUUCAAUGCAGUUUUUUCAGGCCAUGACUCGGAUAAAGAAGGGAACAGCUAAAUGAAAGGGAAAAUGAAAAUGAACUCUCCUAAUAGAAGUUUAAAGUGAAGCGUCUGAUAUCCAGAAAAGACCAAUUUUGAGCAGAGCUGCAGCUCAUACUAAGCAGUUUUGCUGCACUUGCUCAUUCCUGUUUAAAUCAGCUGUCUUUUCUGAAUCUUACAGCAACGCGCUCAUAGUAGCAGCUAAGAAAAAGCAAGGGUUAGUAAAAUAAUCUCUAGUGAUAUCCUCCAUUCUGCUCUGAAGCAUGGGGGAAGGGGAGAAUAGUGUUCAGAGGAAAGAAUGAUAUUUACUACCAAACAACUUUUUUCUCUCCCUUACCUAUGGGUGAAGCUUAAAUCAUUUAGAAACCUCUAAAUGCAAAUAUAUGUUUCUAGUUUAAUUCAUUCAAUGUAUUUGUUUAUCAGGAAGAAGACAGAAGAAGAUUUCCUUUACCCUAUAUUAAAAAAAAAUCACUGAGUAUUGAGGCAAUCGUUUUAGUGUGUUCCAGCACUUUGCUGCAAAAAAAUCAUCAAAUUGAUGCAUUCUGCUGAUUGAAUGAGGACCAAAU